rnacentral:rRNA from 1 species
AUUGAACGCUGGCGGCAUGCCUAACACAUGCAAGUCGAGCGGCAGCAGGGGUGUUUGCCCCUGGUUCAGCGGGGGGCGGGGGAGUGAUAUAUAUGAGUAUAUCUGCUGGUGGGGGGUAUAGUCCGGAGACGGGCGCUUUUAUACCACAUGCGCUCUGCGGGAGAGAGGGGGGGCUCUUCACCCCUCGCGCUCUGGUGUUCCCCGAUGGCUGAUUAGCUAGUUGGUGGGGUAAAGGCCUACCAAGGCGACGAUCAGUAGCUGGUCUGAGAGGAAGACCAGCCACACUGGAACUGAGACACGGCCCAGACUCCUACGGGAGGCAGCAGUGGGGAAUUUUGGACAAUGGGCGAAAGCCUGAUCCAGCAAUGCCGCGUGUGUGAAGAAGGUCUUCGGAUUGUAAAGCACUUUUGGUUGGGAGGAAGGCCUGUGCGUUAAUACGUUGCUGUGAUGACGUUACCGAAAGAAUAAGCACCGGCUAACUACGUG